AGGUUUGGAUAGGUAGCAAGCU
rnacentral:miRNA from 1 species